AGUGAACGCUGGCGGUAGGCCUAACACAUGCAAGUCGAACGGCAGCACAGUAAGAGCUUGCUCUUACGGGUGGCGAGUGGCGGACGGGUGAGGAAUACAUCGGAAUCUACUUUUUCGUGGGGGAUAACGUAGGGAAACUUACGCUAAUACGGCAUACGACCUACGGGUGAAAGCAGGGGAUCUUCGGACCUUGGGCGAUUGAAUGAGCCGAUGUCGGAUUAGCUAGUUGGCGGGGUAAAGGCCCACCAAGGCGACGAUCCGUAGCUGGUCUGAGAGGAUGAUCAGCCACACUGGAACUGAGACACGGUCCAGACUCCUACGGGAGGCAGCAGUGGGGAAUAUUGGACAAUGGGCGCAAGCCUGAUCCAGCCAUACCGCGUGGGUGAAGAAGGCCUUCGGGUUGUAAAGCCCUUUUGUUGGGAAAGAAAAGCAGCAGGUUAAUACCCCGCUGUUCUGACGGUACCCAAAGAAUAAGCACCGGCUAACUUCGUG
rnacentral:rRNA from 1 species